rnacentral:rRNA from 1 species
AUUGAACGCUGGCGGCAGGCCUAACACAUGCAAGUCGAGCGGAUGAGGGGAGCUUUCUCCCUGAUUUAGCGGCGGACGGGUGAGUAAUGCCUAGGAAUCUGCCUGGUAGUUGGGGAUAACGUUCCGAAAGGAACGCUAAUACCGCAUACGUCCUACGGGAGAAAGCCGGGGAUCUUCGGUCCUUGCGCUAUCUGAUGAGCCUAGGUCGGAUUAGCUAGUUGGUGAGGUAAUGGCUCACCAAGGCGACGAUCCGUAACUGGUCUGAGAGGAUGAUCAGUUACACUGGAACUGAGACACGGUCCAGACUCCUACGGGAGGCAGCAGUGGGGAAUAUUGGACAAUGGGCGAAAGCCUGAUCCAGCCAUGCCGCGUGUGUGAAGAAGGUCUUCGGAUUGUAAAGCACUUUAAGUUGGGAGGAAGGGCUGCUGGUUAAUACCCUGCAGUUUUGACGUUACCAACAGAAUAAGCACCGGCUAACUUCGUG